GUCAUAAACCUUGUGUUAAAAUUUCAUAGAUGCUUAUUUGGGCCCUUUUUGGCCCCUAAUUCCUAAACUGUUGGGACCAAAACUCCCAAAAUCAAUCCUAACCUUCCUUUUAUGGUCAUAAACCUUGUGUUUAAAUUUCAUAGAUUUCUAUUUACUUAUACUAAAGUUAUAGUGCGAAAACCAAAUGUCUUCGGAUGAUGACGCCGACACCGCUGACGCCGUCAUACCAAUUUUCAACCUUGCGGUCGUAUAAAAAGUUAAUCACAGAUUAUAAGUGUGUUUUUUUUAUUUAUUUUUUUUAACCAAUCAAGCCUUCAAUAUUUUCCUUAUGAAUAUCAAAAUAUAGAUUUUCGUGAGAAUUUGAAGUAGAUAUGUAUUGCCUAAAAGGAAGUGAUUUUGUGUAAAAUAUUUGCUUUUAGUUUUUGUAUUUUUCUGUCAGGAAAUCAUAUUCUCUAUCAUCAUACAGAUAUCACCCUUUUCUGGAGUCAUUUCUAAGAUGACAUUUGCCUGAAAAAUAUCUCAAGCUUAAGUCUGAAAUUCCUGGUGAAAAUGGUUCCCCUAAAAGAGAUGAAUGGUGAGAAGUAAAUUCAUUUUUUUCUUUUUAAUUAUAUAUAGCACACAAGUAGCCAGGUAGGUAUGAGCGGUUCAUUGACACCCCCCCCUCACCCCAUUUGGAAUAAAAUAAGCACUUUUAAAGUUGUCAUUCUGUUUGAAUUGUAACUCUUAAAAGAGUACAAUUGUAUCAAACCCCCUUG
rnacentral:lncRNA from 1 species